rnacentral:rRNA from 1 species
UCGGGAAUAUUGCGCAAUGGAGGAAACUCUGACGCAGUGACGCCGCGUAUAGGAAGAAGGUUUUCGGAUUGUAAACUAUUGUCGUUAGGGAAGAUAAAAGACUGUACCUAAGGAGGAAGCCCCGGCUAACUAUGUGCCAGCAGCCGCGGUAAUACAUAGGGGCAAGCGUUAUCCGGAAUUAUUGGUAGUGAAUGGAGGUGCGUAGACGGAAGAACAAGUUGGUUGUGAAAUCCCUCGGCUCAACUGAGGAACUGCAACCAAAACUAUUCUCCUUGAGUGUCGGAGAGGAAAGUGGAAUUCCUAGUGUAGCGGUGAAAUGCGUAGAUAUUAGGAGGAACACCAGUGGCGAAGGCGACUUUCUGGACGAUAACUGACGUUGAGGCACGAAAGUGUGGGGAGCAAACAGGAUUAGAUACC